CACCCUGUAGUUAUAACAUGGGAUCGAAAAUAUACUGAAUUAGAGCAGCUGUAUCUGCGGAACUUUAGUUACAUUUUAGCCGGUUAUGUACGGCUGCACUUUUAAAGUUAUGUUGUCUUAUGUUGGUUUUACACACAU